UUGAGGUGAAAUGCUUACACUUUCAUUUAUAGACCAAAUUAAUGUUUAAUUUAUAAUUUGUAAUUAUAAUAUUAAAUCUUAAUCUGACCUAUGGCAUUCAUCAUUUACUGCAAAGACUACUUGGGUAUCUAAUCCUGUUUGUGCUCUGUGCCUUCGUCCUUUAACGUCAGUUUCUACAUAGAGGGCUGCCUUCGCCUUUACCGAGUCCCUUUGGUAUCAUAGAAUUUCAUCUCUCCUCCUCAAGUACUGCSCUCUUACAUAAACUCUAGUCAAGUACUAACAUUAUAGAAGCUAUAUUGACCGUCUAGGUACCCUUUAAACCUAAUUAAGAUGAAUAACACUAGUCUCUUACGUAUUACCGCGACUGCUGGCACGCAAUUAGUCAAGACACGAUAUAUAUACUGUCAUUAUCAAUAUAUAAACAAAGCUUUAUUCAAUUUUAAUACAAUCCUAUAGAU
rnacentral:rRNA from 1 species